UUCCUUACAUUUGCCCUAGUCCCUUCACAAACACUGAUCGUUCUCUCUCUCUCUCUCGGUCUCACAGACUGGCAUGAAUCUCUCAAUCUCUUCUCUCUCUCUCUUUCUCUCUCUCCUUAAUGCUCUCAGAUCAGCACCUCUGCUAUGCUAAUAUCCUUCCUCCUUCUCAGUGUAUUACAAAUUGAUAGAAGAUGGAGUAAUAGUAGAGCGAGUUGAGGUUUGAUGAAGAUUAGAGAUCGAGAAGUUGGAUACUCAGUGGUUCACUACGAAGAAGUCGUCUUCUGAUUCGAAGCAAAAGCGAGUUUGUCACAAUGAUCAGUAAUAGUUCCAAACCAAAGGUGAAAUCAGUAAUUUACAUCUUUUGAUGGUACAGUAGCUCGUGUAGUCUUAGUGUUGGAGGAUUAUUUGAAGGAUGAACCAUGGUUAAAGCUCCUUUGAGAUACCUGAAAAAGCUAGACGAGCAUCAGAGAAAGUGUAUGACAUGGCGAAAGUGGACGAAAGAGUGAACAGAGCAGUGGUAGCGGCUAACAGGGCAGCAAAUGCAGCUAGAGUAGCGGUGGUAAAGGCGGUCCAAAAACAAAUUCAAUACAAUGGUAACAACGACAACAUUCCUAUGCCUUUUAUGUGAGACUGGCUACACCAUUCUGCUGGUAGCAACCCACUUGAAUUACAUGGAACUAUCUAUAAUGUAGUUUGUAUAGAUUGAAGUUUUCGUUGCUACCGUCAAUUGUUUGAAGAUCAAUUGAAGGCCCUUAAUCCAAAGGUUAGUCUCUUGAUGUACAACUUAUUGAUUCAGAAUAAUGACUAUAUAAUGUAUUUCACUGAUACCAUAUGUUACAUUACAGUAUUUAUCUAUCAGAGCUCAAGAAGUGAGCCCAUCACUUAAAAUCAUUAUUGUUCUAUUGGAUGUUAAAUUACUAAAAGUUUGUGAUUUUGUCUCAUUAUUUAAAUGUAUAGGAUUUGUC